rnacentral:rRNA from 1 species
AUUGAACGCUGGCGGCAUGCUUUACACAUGCAAGUCGAACGGCAGCACGGGCUUCGGCCUGGUGGCGAGUGGCGAACGGGUGAGUAAUAUAUCGGAACGUACCCAGAAGUGGGGGAUAGCGUAGCGAAAGUUACGCUAAUACCGCAUACGAUCUAUGGAUGAAAGCAGGGGACCGCAAGGCCUUGUGCUCCUGGAGCGGCCGAUAUCUGAUUAGCUAGUUGGUGAGGUAAAGGCUCACCAAGGCGACGAUCAGUAGCUGGUCUGAGAGGACGACCAGCCACACUGGAACUGAGACACGGUCCAGACUCCUACGGGAGGCAGCAGUGGGGAAUUUUGGACAAUGGGCGCAAGCCUGAUCCAGCAAUGCCGCGUGAGUGAAGAAGGCCUUCGGGUUGUAAAGCUCUUUUGUCAGGGAAGAAACGGUAGAGGCUAAUAUCCUGUGCUAAUGACGGUACCUGAAGAAUAAGCACCGGCUAACUACGUG